GCCUCCUUUGUCCGUAUCUCUAUGUUGCACAGUUACUCUGUCGUUAUCUACCAACAAGCCCAAGUUCUUCAUCAGCUACAUUUACUAAUUCUCCGUUAUUACAAUUUCAUUGAUACAACAUUAAAAGUACAGAGGUACACAGGAAGACAGAGACUUGAAAUGAUGAAGAGCCGUAGAACAAGGAGCAUCGCUGGAGCCAAUGUUUCGACAAAGAGAAGGAGAUAAGUUUUCUUGUCAAACCAUUGGCUCCAGUAAAAUUUCUUGUUCUAUCACUAUUUACGAUUAAAAGACAGCACUAUUGCUCUUGCUGAAGUAUUAUGCAUUAUAGAAUAAAAAUUUGCAGGGUGAAAUGUCAGGAAUGUGAAAUUGCUUGUGUAUUUUAAUGCUACAGCGAAAGCCAGAAAAACAAGAUGUAGAUAACCACAUUGUUAUUUGUCACUACCCAGUUUGGCCAACUUCAUUCAGAGCUGGCACUUUGUUGCAUUAACGACCACUGGAAUUCAUUAAUUGAAUUGCUUCGUGAUUUACUUAUGUUUAGAGAUGUUGAACUUGUUUUAAUGCAGCUUAACAUAAUGCGUGUAAAAAAUAUACAAUGACAUUUUAAGAGGCUUGCAGUUGACUAGCAGAUCACUUGAUGGUAUGAGCUCAGGUUUCCACUGAGCUUCCAUGCACAAAUCGGAUGCACAUUCUUUUUUUUUCAUUGCUUGGAUUUUCAUAAACAUAAGUACCAUUUCUUCUUUGUCGACGUUCUAGUUGUGUUGUAGGACCUAACUGUUUACAUUUGUAUUGGUAUCCAUGUUACACAGACAGCUGAAUUUUUCUUGUAAAUUGUGACAUGGUAGGACUAAGACCAUUUGUGCAAAUUUGCUGCAGGUACACUCUGGUGGCUCCCGCGCCUGCAUCCUACCACCACCGUGUCCUGACUACGUCCACUAGGGAGUUCGAAGCCUUUGGCAGCUCCUGCCACUGCGUCCUGCCACCACCGUGUCCUGACUACGUCCACUAGAGAGUUGGCAGCCUUCGUAAUGAUGCCAAGCAGGCUGGAAGCCGACAGAAAGAUUAAGGUUGCCUCGAAAUUUUACCCAAGCCAUGCCACACACUCGGGCCAGGCCUCUUGCGAACGACGUAUAACCAGGCUCAACGCAUGAGUGUCGAGUGAGUCCGGAGAUCAAGGCAACCUGCUGUGCAACCAGCGUGCAACCUUUGGUGACCCUUCUACAUGUUCCACCUAGUUCACAGCUGUACCUCAGCCUAUCCAAACAGCAUCACCAGCUGUGGUCACUCAUGGAACCAUGGAUGAAUGUUGGGGUGGAGUGAUUUGAAAAGGCAUUCUAUUUGUCUCUUCAACUUCUUAGCAAAUAAUUGUGUUAUUAUAAUUCA
rnacentral:lncRNA from 1 species